UUACUAAUUGACAGAAGGUGGAACGCUAGCUACUAUGUUUUUAUACGUUAGUUUGCUUAAAAUGAACCUCUGAUCAAAUUGUUCAAAAAAUUUGAUCAUCUAUACAGACAUUUUGUUAUGAUUCCAAGUAUUUAAAUUUUCAUAGUAUUUCUACUUUCACUUCAUAUUUUAUUCCAAAAUUAAUAAAAUACAGUGGAAAUGAAGUAAUGAACAAAAAAUAAAAAUAUUAUUCAAUUUAUAAAAUAAUGUUUUUAUUUUUUGUUCAUCAUUCUAUUUAUUUCUCAAUUCAAUUUUGAAGUAAAAUAUAGAAUAAAGUUGGAGAUGUUCUUAGAAUCCAUCUCAGAAAAUCAUGUUGAUUCCGAACUGAUAACAAUUUUAUCCAAUAAUCAAAACGUUUCAAUUUGAAUCCAAUAUCACAGAACCGAACAGCUGAUAAUAAUUGUGUAACUUGUAGUCCUAGUUUAUGCUGACGUUCAACUGGCUUUCAAAUUUUUAUACAUUGUUAAAGCAUUUCUAAUUUCACUCUAUUUUCUGUAACUCCAUUCAAUUUUGUACAUUGUUAAAGCAUCAUUUUCAAAAUAGAAACACCAUUUGUAUUUUGUUCGUUGAAUUCCUUUCCAGAUUUGAUAUUGUGGAGUUCUACCCAGGCGUGUGUAUGCAUUUAGUGAUGUUUGGCUAUGUUUCGAGUAGCUAAUAUAAAUAAUCAAUACAAUACUAAAAGGGAGAUAAUCUCAAUUCUCAGCUAUGCCACGUCAUCAAAAAUAAUCUUCCAACCAGAACAUUUCUUUUUGCCACGUCAGAUGGGCUUCGGUCUCCAUUGUGGUAUUUACGUUUGGACCUCUGUUGUUUACUUUUAUUACUCUGGGCUUCGUCUUCGACAAACCUAAGAAAAAAAAAUUACCUGCAGAGCACGGAGAUCGCGAUGAAUCCUUAAGCAGACGGAGGUCUCGAGGAUCUAUGCCUCUGCCUCUUCGUCUUCUCCGAUUCAAAGCGUAAAGAGCUCUGAUCGAUCACCUUCUCUACAAACGAAACCAUGUUCUUCUCCCUCCCUCUCGCCGUCAACCCCACUCUUCUCCCCGUCUCCUUCCACUGCUUUCUCCUUCGGCGGAACUCGCCUGAGAUGCCUCAUAUUGGUUACUUCCUGCGUUGCCUCCGUUCAAAUCACUGUCGCUAAUGGUUCCGCCCCAGCUCCUGUUGUUGUGGAGAGAGAGAGCAGAUUCGUCUUGGUCUUCCUAUCAAGGGACGCAUGGCCGCCGACACCAUCGAUCUUCUCAAGGACUGUCAACUAUUUGUCAAACAAGUCAAUCCAAGGCAGUACGUUGCACCUGCCAAUUUACAACAAUGCCUUCUCUAGGAAGUGAAAAAACGGAGUACAGAGAAGUGAUGAGGAGGCUCGGGGACUGCGCGAGAGCGACGUUUCUUGAGUUCAAGAGUGCUAUUGCUUCUGAUGUCUCCUCUCAUCAUUCACUGGAGGAGCGAUUCACCCGCUAACGAACUAUGUGAUGAACUACCUCAUGGCGUUGACGGACUUUAGCCAAACGCUCGACUCGCUUCUCAUGGAGCACGAGGAUGUAGAGGAUCUCACAAUACCUCCUUCGCCACAGGAUGUUAUCAAUCCAGAGGAAGAAUAGUUUACCUACGAUUCACCAUAGAAGUUUGUGGCGAUGAACCGACAUUUCUGCUCUAUAGCUUCGGUUCUUGAAGCUAACCUUCAAGUGAAGUCGAAGCUGUACAGAGAUGUAUCUCUGAGACACAUCUUUCUCCUCAACAACUACACUACAUGACCAGGAAAAGUUGGUUGAGGAGAUGACUAACUUUUCAGGAGAAACAACAUGACCACAAGAUUCUUUUUUCACUGAACCCAAUUUCUAUAGUUACCUCUCAUUCUAAAUGUACUCUUUUUUCAUAUUACAGUAUACACCUGCGAUUGAGAUCUAGAGUGUUGGUUGCUUUUUUGCGGAAAUGCUUUUGGGUAAGCCUUUGUUUCCCGGGAAAAACGUGGUGCACCACCAAUUGGAUCUUAUGACUGACUUCCUUGGCACUCCACCUCCUGAGUCUAUAUCAAGGAUUAGAAAUGAAAGGCGAGGAGGUAUCUUAGCAGAGGAAAAAACAGCCAGUCCCUUUCUCUCAUAAGUUCUCUAAAGCUGAUCCUUUGGCUCUCCGCCUUCUUGAACGCCUGCUUGCCUUUGAUCCCAAAGACCGUGCAUCUGCUGAAGAUGCACUAUCUGAUCCAUACUUCAGUGGUUUGUCAAACUCAGAGCGUGAGCCAUCAACACAGCCAAUCUCAAAGCUUGAGUUUGAUUUCGAGAGAAAGAAGUUAACAAAUGAUGAUGUCAGAAAUUAAUCUACCGAGAGAUACUGGAGUAUCAUCCUCAGAUGUUGGAGGAAUACAAGCACGGUGGUGAUCAGCUUAGCUUCAUGUACCCUAGGUUAGCUUCAAUAUUUAUAGAACAUAUUUUAUUUAAACAGUGAUUUUUUUGGAGAAAAAGAUGCAAUUUAAUUUUAUUCAAUAAUUAGUAUAUGUUACUCAUAUUAAAUGUGAUUAUAAAAUAUUAUAUCAUAA